GUUCAGCAAGGACCAAGGUCAGUAGAAGAUGGAGAGGAAAGCAUCCUUGUGUUACAUUGCUAUAAUUUCCACGAGUUGGUCGGAAAUCUGGCACUGAAAUUGGCAUCGAACUGUUAUGGAAUGCGUUUGCCAGUAAACAGGUGGUGAGAGUUGUGCUCCAGCUGUGAACGCGUCUUCCGUCUUAAGCAAUGUGAGAACAUUUUGGCAGUGACUCAGCUGCGCACUAGGAGAUUUAAUACGUUCUCCUUCAAUGACGUCAGACACGUGUUCCACAGCGGCUGCAUCCAUGUCAAGAUUACAUGUCGCAUGUCAGAGUUCGUCCGCUAGUAAUUUUGCUUGGUUAACAUUUAAUAUUAAGUGUAAUUUUUGCUUUGGGUUGUGAUAUUCUCUAUCGGAAGGUGUAUCAAAUGAUAAGUCAAAUGUAAGGAGUACUUUUUUCACGAAACGUCUGUUUUAAUAGGUUAGGGCCGUGUCCACGACCAGUUGAUCCACAGACUAACUAGUUGAAAGCCCCACUUGAAAUUAAGUCUGGAUUUAAUUGCUCACCCGUUAGGACGACACAAGUAGGAGGUGGGGAAUCCAUUGUCAAAUAAGCGCCAUAUUUGAUCCACGGACUAGAUAGAGAGCGGUUCAGCUGGUUGUGAACGCCGUCUAAUUCUUUACUAAGCAUCAGACCUGUGCGUC